rnacentral:rRNA from 1 species
UGGGUAGUCCGCACGAGCGCACCCCUAUCCUUUAUUUGCCAGCACGUAAUGGUGGGAACUCUAGGGAGACUGCCGGUGAUAAACCGGAGGAAGGUGGGGACGACGUCAAGUCAUCAUGACCCUUACGAGUAGGGCUACACACGUGCUACAAUGGCGUAUACAGAGGGUUGCAAAGCCGCGAGGUGGAGCUAAUCUCACAAAGUACGUCGUAGUCCGGAUCGGAGUCUGCAACUCGACUCCGUGAAGUCGGAAUCGCUAGUAAUCGUGGAUCAGAAUGCCACGGUGAAUACGUUCCCGGGCCUUGUACACACCGCCCGUCACACCAUGGGAGUGGGCUGCAAAAGGAGUGGGUAGUUUAACCUUCGGGAGAACGCUCACCACUUUGUGGUUCAUGACUGGGGUGAAGUCGUAACAAGGUAGCCCUAGGGGAACCUGGGGCUGGAUCACCUCCUU